AUCGACAAACCCUCGUUGCUCGGUUCCCAUCCUAGAUAAAGUCCGACUGUGUCGCCGAGCAAGGAAUGACUGGGGCUCUUGACUAUCGUCUGAACGCCUACUCUCCGGUAUCGAUCUCGUUGCCGGCGGCCGGAGCAAGAAGGCCAGCUGCAUCGCCCCCAAAUCCGAUGAUGUCUACCUCAAUCUCCUCGUGAUGGUUUCUGGUGCGGAGGACCGGGAACAAGUUCAACACAGUGAUCCUGAAGCGGCUGUUCAUGAGCAAAAUCAACCGGCCGCCCAUCUCCCUCAAGAGUUUCAUCACUUUCAUGCAAGGAAAGGAUCAAUCUUUUUUCUUCGUUCUUAUUCUUUGCCAAGUAUUCUUCAUAUCUUUCUAGGCUCGAGCCGCAUUAAUGUUCCGGUUGGAAUUAGGACGACAAGAUAAGCCGUUGGGACUGUGACGGAUGAUAAGAGAGUGUCCGAUGUGCCGGCAUUGAACGUGACGGCUUUGAAGUUCACGGAGACGGCUAGGGCAAGGAUCCUGAAGUCUGGAGGGGAGUGCUUGACCUUCGAUCAGCUCGCCCUCCGAGCUCCUCUUGGGCAGAACAUGGUUCUCUUGAGAGGCCCAAAGAAUGCCUGCGAAGUUGUUAAACACUAUUGGUAAAGCUCCUGGUGUGCCGCACAGCCAUACAAAGCCUUACGUACCCUCUAAGGGGAGGAAGGGCCAGAGGAAGAAGAAACAGCAGUGGGUUCAGCGUCCGAGUCAGUUGAGCUGUUCUUGAGCAAUAACAGUUCAGUCAAUUAGGGUUUACUUUUACUGUCGUGUGUUGUAGAAUUGGGGGAUGCAGCAACUGAGGAUCUCAAGGAUUUCUUACUUGUUUCGGGUUUCCAUCUGAAUCAUGGACAUUCAGGUCCAUUCGAUUCCAAUCAAGGUGCAUGUUUUCUUGGUACCAGUGGAGGUGAGUUGCUGUGCUUUCAGUUCUCACCGAUAUAUACAUCUUUUGUCAGAUGACAGAAUUCAUGACUCACCUAUAUAUACAUCUUUUGGUGAUCUGCAA